UGGGGAAUAUUGCACAAUGGAGGAAACUCUGAUGCAGCAACGCCGCGUGAAGGAAGAAGGCUUUCGGGUUGUAAACUUCUUUGAUCAGGGAAGAAAGAAAUGACGGUACCUGAAGAACAAGCCACGGCUAACUACGUGCCAGCAGCCGCGGUAAUACGUAGGUGGCAAGCGUUGUCCGGAUUUACUGGGUGUAAAGGGCGUGUAGGCGGGAAUACAAGUCAGAUGUGAAAGCCCGGGGCUUAACCCCGGAAAUGCAUCUGAAACUGUAUUUCUUGAGUGUUGGAGAGGAAAGCGGAAUUCCCAGUGUAGCGGUGAAAUGCGUAGAGAUUGGGAGGAACAUCAGUGGCGAAGGCGGCUUUCUGGACAACAACUGACGCUGAGGCGCGAAAGCGUGGGGAGCAAACAGGAUUAGAUACCCCCGUAGUCC
rnacentral:rRNA from 1 species